GACAGAGGGUGCAAACGUUGUUCGGAAUUACUGGGCGUAAAGCGCGUGUAGGCGGCUUCGCAAGUCGGACGUGAAAGCCCUCGGCUCAACCGAGGAAGUGCAUCCGAAACUGCGUCGCUAGAGUCCUGGAGAGGAAGGUGGAAUGCUUGGUGUAGAGGUGAAAUUCGUAGAUAUCAAGCGGAACACCGGUGGCGAAGGCGGCCUUCUGGACAGUGACUGACGCUGAGACGCGAAAGCGUGGGGAGCAAACAGGAUUAGAUACCCGCGUA
rnacentral:rRNA from 1 species